AUGAAUUGGAAACACUAAAUUGCCUGUGCCCUGUUCAGGGUUUAGCUCACCUCCUACCCAAUAUGUGUUGGGACAGACAGCAGUCUCCCUGAAGACUUGAACAGCAAAAGCACUUACGAUGGAUGUCUGUAAAUAAAGUUGAAUGUGUUUUCUUGAGCUAGAAGCACAUGCAACUUUAUUUAAUGGAGCUGACUCAUCAUCACGAGCUUCAGAUUCAAGUUUAAGCUAGGAAUGAGAAGACCUAUCAAAACACCUGCAGGGACAGAGUCAGAGCAAGAAAAACUACUGAUCCACCAAUGAGAGGCAGUUCAACAAGGAAGAACAGCCUGAUAGAAGAGGCAGGAGAAGACAGGAUCAGCAAGACAGGGGCCAGUGAAGAUAUUAACCCCACCUGCAAUUUCUCCCAGCUAUCCAGACCAGCCAGAGGUGGACAGAGUGGAAAACAUGUACCUGUUCAUCAAGGAUCAAAAUCUGGGACACCAAGAUGUCUUUACUUAUAAAGGAUUUUGACUUUGAUUUGAACCUCACCAAGAAUGAACAAAUUGGAAUGCGAGAGGAGAAACAAGAUAAAGACCAGAGGAGACAAGCAGAGGAGAUGCCAUGCACUGUGAACCCCCUCAUUAAAAAAGAUAAAGAGGAGAGAAGGGAGGAG